rnacentral:rRNA from 1 species
CCUCAGGUCAGGCGGGAGCA